GGCUUGUUCUUUGUUUUUCAUUCUGGCUCAGUAGGUCACUGUUGGCUGCUUGGAAACCCAGCUGUAGAGCUCUCUCACAGGGCAAUUUUCACUCAGUGAGUUACUGAGCACUAAUGGUAGCUGCUUUUGCUAGUAAGAAAGCAUUCUUUCUACAGAAUGUCCAGUGAGACACUGGAGGAUGGCUGGCCACCGAAGAGGUCGAAUCAACCCCUGAGGGGUCACAGCAACGCUACUCGGCAGCCAUCAGAAGAAAACUUUGCUCCCUGAAGUGAGAAGCUAUCCUCCAUCGUGUCCUUCUGCCAUGAGUUUCCUUGAAAUCAGCUAACCAGAGACUGAAACCUCUGAAACUAUGGGCCAAAACAAGCCUCUCCUUUAAAUCGAGCCGAAAGUUACAUGGUGCCGGAUCUGGUGAAUAAGAGUCUCACGAAGUCAUGAAAUUAUCCAGAUGGGGUUCAAAAUUUAAUCCUCUAGCUUUAGCGACACUGAUUGUUUGGGACUACAGAUGUGGCCCGCCAGGCCUAGCUGAGGAAAAAGACAGGCAACCUUUUGUGCUAAUGGAGCCUAGCUAAACAGGGAGGAUUUCUAAAAGGAAAGUCGGUUCCCUUAUUUAUGCAUUCUGAAAUCUGCCCAAUAUUUUCAUCCUCUUUAAUGAAAUCGCCGAACUCAUCAUCCAUCAUCCAGUUGACCCAGCUGACAUCUGAAAUUCAGAACCAAGAUUCCAUUUCCAGGUUCUCUGAAAGGCUGUGUUCAUGCAGGGAGCACUGCAGGCCUCGGCAUGGUGGCAUCCUGGUCUCACAUGACACCACACACAACUUCAAGUUGCUGGGACCCAAAGUUACAAGGAGUGUUCCUCACUGCUGCACUGAUCAAGUUGUCUGGCUAAACUACUCUGAGGCUUGUUUUAUGCUGUGAAUUUUCCGCAUCACUGGUUCCUUCCUACUCAUUUGCUGGCCCUCAGCCUGGCAAAGAGACAACCGGAAGAGCUUCGCCCCCAUUAUAAAAUGUGGCUGAAACAUUUCAUUGAGUCAUCUGCCCUUGAUACAACUGACUCUUUCAAGCAAAUGUCUGUAAUGCUUUGAAUAAAAGAUGCUGCAUGAAAAUAAAUCUCAGUGUUUUCUGCA